rnacentral:rRNA from 1 species
UGGGGAAUCUUGGACAAUGGGGGAAACUCUGACCCAGCAACGCCGCGUGAAGGAUGAAGGCCCUCGGGUCGUAAACUUCUGUCGAGAGGGAAGAAACGCGUACGGUUAAUAUCCGUGCGCCUGACGGUACCUCCAAAGGAAGCACCGGCUAACUCCGUGCCAGCAGCCGCGGUAAUACGGAGGGUGCAAGCGUUGUUCGGAUUUAUUGGGCGUAAAGCGAGUGUAGGCGGUUUGACAAGUCGGGUGUGAAAGCCCAGGGCCCAACCCUGGAACUGCACCCGAUACUGUUAGGCUAGAAUUCCGGAGAGGGUGGCGGAAUUCCCGGUGUAGGGGUGAAAUCCGUAGAUAUCGGGAGGAACACCAGUGGCGAAGGCGGCCACCUGGACGGUAAUUGACGCUCAGACUCGAAAGCGUGGGUAGCAAACAGGAUUAGAUACCCGCGUAGUCC